rnacentral:rRNA from 1 species
UACGGGGGGAGCAAGCGUUGUUCGGAUUUACUGGGCGUAACGGGCGCGUAGGCGGUCGUGACAAGUCACUUGUGAAAUCUCCGGGCUUAACUCGGAACGGUCAAGUGAUACUGUCGGACUAGAGUACAGAAGGGGCAACUGGAAUUCUCGGUGUAGCGGUGAAAUGCGCAGAUAUCAGGAGGAACACCGAUGGCGAAGGCAGGUCUCUGGGCAUUAACUGACGCUGAGGAGCGAAAGCGUGGGGAGCGAACAGG